rnacentral:sRNA from 1 species
CAUUAAUUUACUUGUCGAAUUACAUCCAAUUUGUUUUCUCUAAAUAUUGGAAACUAUCAAACUCUCCAUCAAUUUGAAUUUAAUUACUUAUAGACUUAAGAUCUAGUUCUAGGGUUUAUUAUGGGGAAAAUGUAGAAAAAUGCGUCAACUAUCAAAUUUGGGACGAAAAACAUGAACUUUUGAAAUCUCAUUUAAAUCCUAAAGUUUGGUUGACUUCUAAAAGAAUGGCUAAAUUUCGUUGAUUUGGCCAUUUAAUACAUGCCGUGAAAUUUUCGUUAAUAGAAAACUAACGGAGUUAACUUUUUGUUAGCAGCUCAAAAUGAGCUCGUUUUAAAAUUAAAAAUAAGAAUAAAAUCUGACACAACCUAGUUUUAAUAAUACUUAGUGGUUUAUAGGUAGUUCAUAUUUUGCAUAUGAUUUCUAACUUACUAAUCUGAAUUCAUUUGUAUUCUUAGGUGUGUCAUCUAUGGAAGCAUAACAACUUGGCGCAAUUUGUAGAUCUGCGACUACAAAGCUAUGACAUGGAUGAGGUAAUGAAGACAAUCAAAGUUGGGAUCUUCUAUACGAGUCGUGCAGCUUCUGAUAGGCCACCAAUGUUAGCAGUAGUUAGUAUGUUAGAGGGUCUUCUAAGUGUAGAAGUCGAGAUGCAAGCGCUUAUGGCGGUUCUCAGUGAUGAGGAGCAAUCUCCGGAUCUGUUGAGGAUGAUGGCGGACAUUGACGAAGAAUUCGAAUUACAGGAGAUUAUAGAGACUCUCGAGAGGUAUCCUGUCUCGACAAAGGGAAAAUAGAAGGUUUCAUGUGAUUCUUUUUUCAUUGAGGCUGAGUCGAGUAGAGCUGGAGAAGAGAGAGAAGGAAAAUGAACAUGCAGAUUCAAGGUUUGAUGAUAUUGUUUGUUUUGUAUGAGACAGUUAGACAAGUCACUGUACCACAAGCAUUGAGAUUAUUUGCAAAUUAAGGAAUGAGUAUUAGAUGUCUUCUUAAAUAAUUUUGUGCUAACAUCUCAUUGGUAGUUUAAUCUUUUUUUUUUAAACAUAGGUAAAUUAUAUGCAAAUUAAAAAUUUAGAAACAAAUUAGAACAUGUCAUUUUGUACAAAAGAUGCAUAAAUUAGUGAAAGAAACUCACGUUAUGCAGUCCUCUCAUUUAAAUGUUUUAUCGUAAGAAAUUUGCAAGAACAUAUCUUGCUUAUAUUUUGCUCAAAAGAUAAUGUUGUUGCAUAUUCGAUUUCUUACAAAUUAAUUUUCCAACAUAAAGUCAGUUUAUAUAUUUGCAUUCGGAGACGAAACUAUAUCUUAGGAGAAGACAAAGUAUUUGUUUGAAUGUCAUCAUAGCAUAGUAUCAAAUUGAUUUGGUAACUACGAGGUUGGUUAUAGCUAGGUAUUUGAUUUUAGUUUUAAUUUCUUAACUAGAGAAUUUGAGUUUAAUUUCAAAUAUUUUGAUUU